rnacentral:lncRNA from 10 species
CGUGAGCCACCGCUCCCGGCCAAAAUCACCUUCUUUUUCAGCUUUCCCUCCACAGCGCUUCCCAGCGUCUGGAAUUCCUGUGUUGAUGUCCAUUCACUGUUGCACUGUGUAUCCUCCUUCCUAAGAGCAGAGACCUGGCCUCCCUCAUGCUCCACAAAAACCCUAGUGCUUAGAACAGUAUCUGGAACACAGCAAAUGCCCAGUAUAUUUUCACUGAAUUACUAAACCUCAAAGAGCCUGGAGCCUCAGUCCUCCUGCCAGCCUCAGGCCCAGCCUGCUGGACAACCAAG